AUGCACGCUGGCGGCGUGCCUAAUCCCUGCCAGUCGAGCGAACGGACGAGAAGCUUGCUUCUCUGAUGUUAGCGGCGGACGGGUGAGUAACCCGUGGAUAACCUACCUAUAAGACUGGGAUAACUUCGGGAAACCGGAGCUAAUACCGGAUAAUAUUUUGAACCGCAUGGUUCAAAAGUGAAAGACGGUCUUGCUGUCACUUAUAGAUGGAUCCGCGCUGCAUUAGCUAGUUGGUAAGGUAACGGCUUACCAAGGCAACGAUGCAUAGCCGACCUGAGAGGGUGAUCGGCCACACUGGAGCUGAGACACGGUCCAGACUCCUACGGGAGGCAGCAGUAGGGAAUCUUCCGAAAUGGGCGAAAGCCUGACGGAGCAACGCCGCGUGGGUGAUGAAGGUCUUCGGAUCGUAAAACUCUGUUAUUAGGGAAGAACAUAUGUGUAAGUAACUGUGCACAUCUUGACGGUACCUAAUCAGAAAGCCACGGCUAACUACGU
rnacentral:rRNA from 1 species